rnacentral:rRNA from 1 species
GCAGAACGACCCGCGAACCAGUUCUUUCGAUGCACGCCGGGGCGGCGGGGAGCUCCCGCCCCUCGCCCCUCGGCCGGCCGUGGGGAGCGGGCCCGCGCGGUCCCUCCCCUGGGCCAACGAACAAAACCCCGGCGCCGGACGCGCCAAGGACCUACGGAAACAGGAGAGCACGCCCCAUCGGCCCGGGAACGGGACGCGGGGCGCGGCUCCUCUCGCUGCGAGCGAGAAAGAAUGAAA